rnacentral:ncRNA from 1 species
GUACUUGUGGCUUUGAAGUACUGCUCAAUAAAGAAAUUCAACCAAGCGCGAGUAAACGGCGGGAGUAACUAUGACUCUCUUAAGGUAGCCAAAUGCCUCAUGGUUGCCAAUG